AUUGAACGCUGGCGGCAGGCCUAACACAUGCAAGUCGAACGAGUGGCGGACGGGUGAGUAAUGUCUGGGAAACUGCCUGGUGGAGGGGGAUAACUACUGGAAACGGUAGCUAAUCCCGCUUACCAUCAGAUGUGCCCAGAUGGGAUUAGCUUGUUGGUGGGGUAACGGUUCACCAAGGAGCCGAUCCCUAGCUGUUCUGAGAGGAUGACCGGCAAACCUGGAACUGGGACACGGUCCAGACGCCUACGGGAGACAGCAGUGGGGAAUAUUGCACAAUGGCCGCAAGCCUGAUGCAGACAUGCCGCGUGUAUGAAGAAGGCCUGCGGGUUGUAAAGGACUUUCAGCGGGGAGGCGUUACCCGCAGAAGAAGCACCGGCUAACUCCGUGCCAGCAGCCGCGGUAAUAC
rnacentral:rRNA from 1 species